GCAUGGCCUGCAUAUUCGAUUCUUCAAUCUAUACUAUUAUUUGAGACGUACGUUAAGUGAUUCUCAGUUAAAAA
rnacentral:sRNA from 1 species